rnacentral:rRNA from 1 species
UGGAAACUGAUUUACUUGAGUGCAAAAGAGGACAGUGGAACUCCAUGUGUAGCGGUGAAAUGCGUAGAUAUGUGGAAGAACACCAGUGGCGAAGGCGGCUGGCUGGACUGUAACUGACGUUGAGGCUCGAAAGUAUGGGUAGCAAACGGGAUUAGAUACCCUGGUAGUCCAUGCCGUAAACGAUGAUUGCUAGUUGUUGAAAGGUUUCCGCCUUUUAGUGAUGUAGCUAACGCAUUAAGCACUCCGCCUGAGGAGUACGACCGCAAGGUUAAAACUUAAAGGAAUUGACGGGGACCCGCACAAGCGGUGGAGCAUGUGGUUUUAAUUCGA